AUUGAACGCUGGCGGCAGGCCUAACACAUGCAAGUCGAGCGGUAGAGAGAAGCUUGCUUCUCUUGAGAGCGGCGGACGGGUGAGUAAUGCCUAGGAAUCUGCCUGGUAGUGGGGGAUAACGUUCGGAAACGGACGCUAAUACCGCAUACGUCCUACGGGAGAAAGCAGGGGACCUUCGGGCCUUGCGCUAUCAGAUGAGCCUAGGUCGGAUUAGCUAGUUGGUGGGGUAAUGGCUCACCAAGGCGACGAUCCGUAACUGGUCUGAGAGGAUGAUCAGUCACACUGGAACUGAGACACGGUCCAGACCCCUACGGGAGGCAGCAGUGGGGAAUAUUGGACAAUGGGCGAAAGCCUGAUCCAGCCAUGCCGCGUGUGUGAAGAAGGUCUUCGGAUUGUAAAGCACUUUAAGUUGGGAGGAAGGGCAGUAAAUUAAUACUUUGCUGUUUUGACGUUACCGACAGAAUAAGCACCGGCUAACCCUGUG
rnacentral:rRNA from 1 species